AAUUGUUACAGCUUUUUUAGAAUUGGUCCGGCAAGUUUCUGGUCCUUACCAGGAGACCCCU
ensembl:snRNA U7 U7 small nuclear RNA